rnacentral:rRNA from 1 species
CACCGCGGUUAUACGAGAGACCCAAGUUGACAGCAUUCGGCGUAAAGAGUGGUUAAGAAAUUCCCUAAACUAAAGCCGAAUGCCCUCAAGGCUGUUAUACGCAUUCGAGGACAAGAAGUUCAAGUACGAAAGUGGCUUUAUAGAUCUGAGCCCACGAAAGUUAAGGCA